CAGGGUGUAGCUCAGUGGCAGAGUGCUUGCCUACCACGUGUGAGGCACUGGGUUCAAUCCUUAGCACCAUGU
rnacentral:tRNA from 1 species